GUAAACAUUUAGGGGGAUGGCAUCCACAUCUGCCAGGAGUGGGGACAAAAAGGACAUCAGGUCAUCUCAAGCUGCCGCCUCCUUAGGUGGAGGGCAGAAAGUCUCAUUAUCCUGCUCUGAAGAAUUCCUGACCCGAAUCAGCACAGAACUUACAGACGAAGCACUGUUUAUUGCUCGCUCCCGUUUGAGUCCUCUGCCCAAUAAGGAAAAGAACACAAAAGACCAAGGGACUCAGAUAUCUAGACAUGUGUUCUUCACUAAGACCCGAGGCACUGACACCCGCUCUGACAAAAAUCGAACCCGAACCAAGGCACACCUUCUGCCUUCUCCUCGUGAAAAGGGACCACUCCCCAACAGCCUGACAACUGGAGGAUGAGCUUGGCCCUCCCUAAUACUGCUCUCUCAGCUUCUUGCCUUCCCCCACUAUGUCCCUCAGUGAAAACCUCAAAGCCCCUCUUUUGCAACUGGCUACGCCUCUCAUCUUGGGAGGAAUGCCUGGUCAUAAGCAAUGCCACCUUUGAAACCAAGAAAAUCUUCUGGAACUGUUGCGGGGCCCUCCACCCUCCAUGGGCAAACGCUACUGAGAAGAAAAUGUUUCAAUAAAGAACCAGGAUCCUCUCUUC
rnacentral:lncRNA from 1 species